CUAUAAAGAUGUCCUUAACUC
rnacentral:piRNA from 1 species